rnacentral:rRNA from 1 species
CAGCCGCCGCGGUAAUACGAAGGGGGCUAGCGUUGUUCGGAAUUACUGGGCGUAAAGGGCGCGUAGGCGGCACGAUUAGUCAGGCGUGAAAUUCCUGGGCUCAACCUGGGGACUGCGCUUGAUACGGUCGAGCUAGAGGAUGGAAGAGGGUUGUGGAAUUCCCAGUGUAGAGGUGAAAUUCGUAGAUAUUGGGAAGAACACCGGUGGCGAAGGCGGCGACCUGGUCCUUGACUGACGCUGAGGCGCGAAAGCGUGGGGAGCAAACAGGAUUAGAUACCCGUGUAGUCCCUGUCUCUUAUAU